rnacentral:rRNA from 1 species
AUAUCAGUAAGCGGAGGAAAAGAAAAUAACAAUGAUUACCUCAGUAGCGGCGAGUGAAGAGGUAAAAGCCCAAGAUGUAAAUCUGUGUUACAGACAUGGAAUUGUAAUCUAUGGAACUAAUCAGAAAGCGGAAGCCUGCCAUAAGUUCCUUGGAAUAGGACGCCAGAGAGGGUGAAAGCCCCGUCUCGGGUAGGACGAAGCAAUAUGAAAGGUUUCUAAGAGUCGGGUAGUUUGGGAAUGCUGCCCUAAGUGGGAGAUAAACUUCUCCUAAGGCUAAAUAUUUAUAGGAGACCGAUAGCGCACAAGUA